UGAGCCCUAUAAGCCCAUUGUGUACUGGGAGAGGGGCAGAAUCAGGACAGGUAAAGGCAAGGUGUCUGGUACAGGCAAUGACCGACGCUGGUACAUCGACAAGGUCACGUAUGAGGACCAGGGUACAUACACGCAGAAGGACUACUGGCAAAAAGAGAUCUCCACUGUUAAAGUGGCUGUCAUACCGAGGCGUAACUAUUUGAAGUGUGUAGCUGGUGAGAGUUUCUACAUCUCACUGGAGGGCAGUCACCUCACUAACGCUAACCUCUACUUUUCU